rnacentral:rRNA from 1 species
UACGGGGGGGGCAAGCGUUGUUCGGAAUUACUGGGCGUAAAGGGCUCGUAGGCGGCCAACUAAGUCAUACGUGAAAUCCCUCGGCUUAACCGGGGAACUGCGUCUGAUACUGGAUGGCUUGAGUUCGGGAGAGGGAUGCGGAAUUCCAGGUGUAGCGGUGAAAUGCGUAGAUAUCUGGAGGAACACCGGUGGCGAAGGCGGCAUCCUGGACCGAUACUGACACUGAGGAGCGAAAGCGUGGGGAGCGAACAGG